AAGUCGUAACAAGGUAUCCGUAGGUGAACCUGCGGAUGGAUCAUUACUAAUGAUUUAUCUUACCUUUUGUGAAUUAUUUGAUACGGUCAGCCUCGGCUGGCCACUAUAUACUUGACUUUUAAACUGAAAUUCUACAGAAUUAAAACAACUUUUAGCAAUGGAUCUCUUGGCUCUC
rnacentral:misc_RNA from 1 species